CUGGUACAUUAUCAGAAUAUGUAAAUGAACGCCAUACUGCGCCGUGGAAGGUUCGAUUUUACCCCAAAAAAUCGGUGUUCAGAAAAUCAGAACUCAUUGAUAGAGGAUGUACUAUUUUUCUUACUGACUGCCCAAGUAAUUAUAAAAAGAAAUUGGUCUGCGCUCGUCACUACGAUGGUGAACUCAAAACUUUUACAAAUUAUUGUGCAUUAGAAUAUGAAAACUGUAACAGCUGGAGAAAAUGGAGUUUGAUCAAAGAAACUAGGUGUUAAUAAUAAAUAAAAAAAAACAAACCAAAAAUUGACAC